rnacentral:ncRNA from 2 species
ACAUAACGACAGGGGAGCGCCGCCGUCGGACCUGGCAAGGCCGGGAACCGCAGGUGGGCGCUGAGAGUGCGGACAGCCGCAGACCCUCGAACCUGAUCCGGUUAGUACCGGCGCAAGGGAGUCGAGUUCUCGAAGUC